UGGAUCCAGACUUUGAUCCUGGCUCAGGAUGGACGCUGGCGGCGUGCCUAAUACAUGCAAGUCGAACGAAACUUCUUUAUCACCGAGUGCUUGCACUCACCGAUAAAGAGUUGAGUGGCGAACGGGUGAGUAACACGUGGGCAACCUGCCCAAAAGAGGGGGAUAACACUUGGAAACAGGUGCUAAUACCGCAUAACCAUAGUUACCGCAUGGUAACUAUGUAAAAGGUGGCUAUGCUACCGCUUUUGGAUGGGCCCGCGGCGCAUUAGCUAGUUGGUGGGGUAAAGGCUUACCAAGGCAAUGAUGCGUAGCCGAACUGAGAGGUUGAUCGGCCACAUUGGGACUGAGACACGGCCCAAACUCCUACGGGAGGCAGCAGUAGGGAAUCUUCCACAAUGGGCGAAAGCCUGAUGGAGCAACGCCGCGUGGGUGAAGAAGGUCUUCGGAUCGUAAAACCCUGUUGUUAGAGAAGAAAGUGCGUGAGAGUAACUGUUCACGUUUCGACGGUAUCUAACCAGAAAGCCACGGCUAACUACGUGCCAGCAGCCGCGGUAAUACGUAGGUGGCAAGCGUUAUCCGGAUUUAUUGGGCGUAAAGGGAACGCAGGCGGUCUUUUAAGUCUGAUGUGAAAGCCUUCGGCUUAACCGGAGUAGUGCAUUGGAAACUGGGAGACUUGAGUGCAGAAGAGGAGAGUGGAACUCCAUGUGUAGCGGUGAAAUGCGUAGAUAUAUGGAAGAACACCAGUGGCGAAAGCGGCUCUCUGGUCUGUAACCGACGCUGAGGUUCGAAAGCGUGGGUAGCAAACAGGAUUAGAUACCCUGGUAGUCCACGCCGUAAACGAUGAAUGCUAAGUGUUGGAGGGUUUCCGCCCUUCAGUGCUGCAGCUAACGCAAUAAGCAUUCCGCCUGGGGAGUACGACCGCAAGGUUGCAACUCAAAUGAAUUGACGGAA
rnacentral:rRNA from 1 species